rnacentral:tRNA from 1 species
GUUUUAGUAGUUUAAAUAAAAACACUGGUCUUGUAAAUCAAUAUUAAGUAUUAUACUUCUAAAACU